CAUGACUUGCUUUGUAGCCAGGUGCAAACAUUUUACACUUUAACCAAAUGUUUGUGAAGCAUUUUCCCAUGCCUCAUCUCAUUUGAUCCUCACAGAAGUCCUGGAGUAGAGAGGAAGAGAGAGAGGGAGAAAGAGUUAGAAACAUCACUGAUGAGGGAGAAUCAUUGAUUGGCUGUGUCCUGCACACCCCCCUACUGAGGAACAAGCCUGCAACCCAGGGACUUUCAAGUGUUGUGAGGUGUAUAUUAGAUCCUGAUUGAAGAAAAUCAAACAAGACUUCCUUCAGAAACAAAGAUUAACAAGGAGCUGUGACCCUUGGGGUGAAGCAUAACUAAAUAUUUCUUAGGCAAUAUAAAUGUACAUUAAG